rnacentral:rRNA from 1 species
GACGAACGCUGGCGGCGUGCUUAACACAUGCAAGUCGAACGGAAAGGCCCUGCUUUUGUGGGGUGCUCGAGGGGCGAACGGGUGUGUAACACGUGAGUAACCUGCCCUUGACUUUGGGAUAACUUCAGGAAACUGGGGCUAAUACCGGAUAGGAGCUCCUGCCGCAUGGGGGGGGUUGGAAAGAUUCGGCGGUUGGGGAUGGACUCUCGGCUUAUCAGCUUGUUGGUGGGGUAGUGGCUUACCAAGGCUUUGACGGGUAGCCGGCCUGAGAGGGUGACCGGGCACAUUGGGACUGCGAUACGGCCCAGACUCCUACGGGAGGCAGCAGUGGGGAAUCUUGCGCAAUGGGCGGCAGCCUGCUGCAGCAACGCCGCGUGCGGGAUGACGGCCUUCGGGUUGUAAACCGCUUUCGCCUGUGACGACGCGUGCGUGACGUUAAUGGGUACAGAAGCACCGGCUAACUACGUG